rnacentral:rRNA from 1 species
ACUUACACCCCCCCAACCACGCCAGGGCACUACGAGCCCAAACUUAAAACCCAAAGGACUUGACGGUGCCCCAUAUCCACCUAGAGGAGCCUGUCCUAUAAUCGAUGAUCCCCGUUUUACCUCACCACUUCUAGCCUACCAGCCUGUAUACCUCCGUCGUCAGCUCACCGCAUGAGCGCACUAUAGUGAGCACAAUGGCACCCGCCAAAACGUCAGGUCAAGGUGCAGCAAAUGAAGCGGCCAGAGAUGGGCUACAUUUUCUCUUGCAGAAAAUCACGGAAGACUACUAUGAAACCUAGUCAGAAGGCGGAUUUAGCAGUAAAGCAGAAACCAGAAAGUUCUCUUUAAUAAGGCACAGGGGC